rnacentral:rRNA from 1 species
CGCGGGAGCAAUCCUGGCGGCGAGUGGCGAACGGGUGAGUAAUGUAUCGGAACGUAUCCUGUAAUGGGGGAUAACCAGUCGAAAGAUUGGGUAAUACCGCAUACGCACGAGAGUGGAAAGUGGAGGAUCGCAAGACUUCACGUUACAGGAGCGGCCGAUAUCUGAUUAGCUAGUUGGUGGGGUAAAGGCCUACCAAGGCGACGAUCAGUAGCUGGUCUGAGAGGACGACCAGCCACACUGGGACUGAGACACGGCCCAGACUCCUACGGGAGGCAGCAGUGGGGAAUUUUGGACAAUGGGCGAAAGCCUGAUCCAGCCAUGCCGCGUGCAGGAAGAAGGCCUUCGGGUUGUAAACUGCUUUAGUCCAGGAAAAAGGGAUGCCCGGUUAAUACCUGGGUGUUUUGAUGGUACUGGAAGAAUAAGCACCGGCUAACUACGUGCCAGCAGCCGCGGUAAUACGUAGGGUGCGAGCGUUAAUCGGAAUUACUGGGCGUAAAGCGUGCGCAGGCGGUCUUGUAAGACAGUCGUGAAAUCCCUGGGCUUAACCUAGGAACUGCGAUUGUGACUGCAAGGCUAGAGUGUGUCAGAGGGGGGUGGAAUUCCACGUGUAGCAGUGAAAUGCGUAGAGAUGUGGAGGAACACCGAUGGCGAAGGCAGCCCCCUGGGAUAACACUGACGCUCAUGCACG